rnacentral:rRNA from 1 species
GUUAAGAAUCUUGCACAAUUAGCGAAAGCUAGAUGCAGCGACGCCGCGUGAAGGAUGAAGGCCCUCGGGUCGUAAACUUCUGUUUCAGAAGAAGAUAAUGACGGUACUCUGGAAGAAAGCCCCGGCCAAUUACGUGCCAGCAGCCGCGGUAAUACGUAAGGGGCAAGCGUUGUCCGGAAUCACUGGGCGUAAAGCGCGCGUAGGUGGUUUGGUAAGUCGGAUGUGAAAUCCUCGAGCUCAACUCGGGAACUGCGUUCGAAACUGCCUCACUCGAGAGUGGGAGAGGGAAGUGGAAUUCCCGGUGUAGGGGUGAAAUCCUUAGAUAUCGGGAAGAACACCAAUGGCGAAGGCAACUUCCUGGCCCAUUUCUGACACUGAGGUGCGAAAGCGUGGGGAGCGAACGGGAUUAGAUACCCGGGUAGUCC